ACAGCAGUCGCCGCGGUAAUACGUAGGUGUCAAGCGUUGUCCGGAAUUAUUGGGCGUAAAGAGCUCGUAGGCGGUUUGUCGCGUCUGCUGUGAAAACCGGAGGCUCAACCUCCGGCCUGCAGUGGGUACGGGCAGACUAGAGUGCGGUAGGGGAGAUUGGAAUUCCUGGUGUAGCGGUGGAAUGCGCAGAUAUCAGGAGGAACACCGAUGGCGAAGGCAGAUCUCUGGGCCGUAACUGACGCUGAGGAGCGAAAGCAUGGGGAGCGAACAGGAUUAGAUACCCCCGUAGUCCCUGUCUCUUAUAC
rnacentral:rRNA from 1 species